GACGAACGCUGGCGGCGUGCUUAACACAUGCAAGUCGAACGGAAAGGCCCUGCUUUUGUGGGGGGCUCGAGUGGCGAACGGGUGAGUAACACGUGAGUAACCUGCCCUUGAUUUUGGGAUAACUUCAGGAAACUGGGGCUAAUACCGGAUAGGAGCUCCUGCUGCAUGGUGGGGGUGGGAAAGUUUCGGCGGUUGGGGAUGGACUCGCGGCUUAUCAGCUUGUUGGUGGGGUAGUGGCUUACCAAGGCUUUGACGGGUAGCCGGCCUGAGAGGGUGACCGGCCACAUUGGGACUGAGAUACGGCCCAGACUCCUACGGGAGGCAGCAGUGGGGAAUAUUGCACAAUGGGCGGAAGCCUGAUGCAGCAACGCCGCGUGCGGGAUGACGGCCUUCGGGUUGUAAACCGCUUUCGCCUGUGACGAAGCGUGAGUGACGGUAAUGGGUAAAGAAGCACCGGCUAACUACGUG
rnacentral:rRNA from 1 species